rnacentral:lncRNA from 1 species
UCAAAGCACUUUGGCUAGAGGCACAGAAUGAAAAUCAGUGCUCUUUUGGUGACAGUGCUGCAAUUUAACACUGAUGUUCCUGAAGACCUCCUUUCUCAAGAAAAAGCACUUACUUACUCUGUAUGCCGGAUUCAGCUGCCUGCAUUGCUUCAGAGCUGGGGAAAAUAUUCUACAGACUUUAUUGUGUACAGGAAAUGCAGCAGAGUGCUCCCUGGUUCAGUUGCCAUAGCAGUAACAGUGCAGUGCCUCUUUAAGGCAUCCUGUUACAAAUAGGAUAUAUCUUUCUUCAUAUAACAUUUUGAAAACAAACAUCUAUUUUAUUCUGUCUGGGCUUGGUGAGGCAUCUGUAUUACCUUCUGUCAAAACCUCUGUAGGAUUCAAGUCAGUUCUCAAUUGUGAUCAGAGAUUCUAGUUCCUGUUUAGUUGAGGUACACUGUGUUGCAUGCACAUGCUUGUAUGUGAAGGAGCCUCAUACUUGUAUGUGAAGGAGCUUGUAUGGGAAAUAGCCGAUGUGUAGCUGCAUACAUGUAAUCUUGUUAAAUUUUUGUAGUAGGGUUUACACUGAAAUUCUUGUUUUGCACUUCCUGCACUAAGUACACUUGCAGAGAUCACUGCUGUGAAAUGAGUAAUGAAGAACUGAGUGUUAUCUUAAAUAAUGAGCUGUUUCACAAUUAAUAAUAUUGGAGGGGGUAUGCUUGAAGCAUAAAGCAAUAGAGAUCAGUUUGUCUCUUUUUGGAAGGCCUUAAAAUUGUUGAAAUUCCAAAUUGUCUUCUUGUUUGACUGGUGAGGCUAAGCAUUAGUUGUUAAACUGGGUGUGAAUGUGGAGGAACAUGUAUAGAGACUAUAAAUGUAUAUAUUUAAUGUGAAUGAUGUGCAUUGAAUAUAUUUUCAUAAAUAACAUUACUUUUACUUGUUGUUCUGAAUAUGUGUUUCCAAAAGAUCCAACAUCAGCUGUAAAAAAUGCAGCUUUGUGGGCUUUGAGGAUGUGUUUUAACAUCUAUUUAAACUAAGAGGAGUUUGGGGAAUUCAUUAAACACUGACAUUUGCAAACUUACCUGUACCAUUUUUCUGAUUGAAAUGCAAAUAUUUUGAAGGUUGUUGUUGGGGUGUUUUUUCUUAGAAAUGAUGAUGAGAUGUAGUCUUACUUCUUAAAUACAUGAAAUAAAGAUAGAAAUGUUUUGACUGUCA